UAAGGAAUAUUGCUCAAUGGGAGAAAUCCUGAAGCAGCAACGCCGCGUGGAGGAUGAAGGGUUUUUAACUUGUAAACUCCUGUAAAGAAGGAAAAAAUUCCCAUUAGAUGGGAAAUGAUGGUACUUCUGGAGUAAGCCCCGGCUAACUACGUGCCAGCAGCCGCGGUAAUACGUAGGGGGCAAGCGUUGUCCGGAUUUACUGGGUGUAAAGGGUGCUCAGGCGGAUUUGUAAGUCAGAGGUGAAAUCUCACAGCUUAACUGUGAAACUGCCUUUGAUACUGCAAGCCUAGAGUAUGGAAGAGAGUGAUGGAAUAUCUGGUGUAGCAGUGAAAUGCGUAGAUAUCAGAUAGAACACCAAUGGCGAAGGCAGUCACUUGGUCCAUAACUGACGCUAAAGCACGAAAGCGUGGGUAGCAAAACAGGAUCAGAUACCCUGGUAGUCCACGCCCUAAACGAUGAAUACUAGAUGUUGGCUUCGCAUGAAGUCAGUAUCUGAGCUAACGCAUUAAGUAUUCCACCUGGAAGUACGAUCGCAAGGUUGAAACUCAAAUGAAUUGACGGGGUCAUAGCUGUUUCCUG
rnacentral:rRNA from 1 species